rnacentral:rRNA from 1 species
AACGAACGCUGGCGGCAUGCCUAGCACAUGCAAGUCGAACGAGAUCUUCGGGUCUAGUGGCGCACGGGUGCGUAACGCGUGGGAAUCUGCCCUUUGGUUCGGAAUAACAGUUGGAAACGACUGCUAAUACCGGAUGAUGACGAAAGUCCAAAGAUUUAUCGCCAGAGGAUGAGCCCGCGUAGGAUUAGCUAGUUGGUGUGGUAAAGGCGCACCAAGGCGACGAUCCUUAGCUGGUCUGAGAGGAUGAUCAGCCACACUGGGACUGAGACACGGCCCAGACUCCUACGGGAGGCAGCAGUGGGGAAUAUUGGACAAUGGCGAAAGCCUGAUCCAGCAAUGCCGCGUGAGUGAUGAAGGCCUUAGGGUUGUAAAGCUCUUUUACCCGGGAUUAUAAUGACAGUACCGGGAGAAUAAGCUCCGGCUAACUCCGUGCCAGCCGCCGCGGUAA